rnacentral:rRNA from 1 species
AUUGAACGCUGGCGGCAUGCUUUACACAUGCAAGUCGAACGGUAACAGGCCGCAAGGUGCUGACGAGUGGCGAACGGGUGAGUAAUGCAUCGGAACGUGCCCAGUCGUGGGGGAUAACGCAGCGAAAGCUGUGCUAAUACCGCAUACGAUCUGUGGAUGAAAGCGGGGGGACCUUCGGGCCUCGCGCGAUUGGAGCGGCCGAUGUCAGAUUAGGUAGUUGGUGGGGGUAAAGGCUCACCAAGCCAACGAUCUGUAGCUGGUCUGAGAGGACGGACCAGCCACACUGGGACUGAGACACGGCCCAGACUCCUACGGGAGGCAGCAGUGGGGAAUUUUGGACAAUGGGCGCAAGCCUGAUCCAGCAAUGCCGCGUGCAGG